rnacentral:rRNA from 1 species
GACGAACGCUGGCGGCGUGCUUAACACAUGCAAGUCGAACGAGAUCCAAUCAGUAGCAAUACUGAUGAAGAUCUAGUGGCGAACGGGUGCGUAACACGUGAGGAACUUGUCCCGGUCUCUGGGAUAACAGUUGGAAACGACUGCUAAUACCGGAUGGCGUCGGAACUUCGCAUGGAGUACUGACGAAAGGGUUACUGGAU